ensembl:rRNA 5S_rRNA 5S ribosomal RNA
CUCUAUGGCCAAACCACCCUGAACGCCUGCGAUCUUGUCUGAUAUCAGAAGCUAAGCAGGGUCGGGCCUGGUUAGUAUUUGAAUGGCAGACUCUGGGUUUUUGAAAGCUUUGUCUCAGAGAUUAGGCAGUUGGAAAUC